GGCGCGCAAUUACCCAAUCCCGACACGGGGAGGUAGUGACAAUAAAUACUGAUACAGGGCUCUUUUGGGUCUUGUAAUUGGAAUGAGUACAAUUUAAAUCCCUUAACGAGAAACAAUUGGAGGGCAAGUCUGGUGCCAGCAGCCGCGGUAAUUCCAGCUCCAAUAGCGUAUAUUAAAGUUGUUGUGGUUAAAAAGCUCGUAGUUGAACCUUGGGCCUGGCUGGCCGGUCCGCCUCACCGCGUGUACUGGUCCGGCCGGGCCUUUCCCUCUGUGGAACCCCAUGCCCUUCACUGGGUGUGGCGGGGAAACAGGACUUUUACUUUGAAAAAAUUAGAGUGCUCCAGGCAGGCCUAUGCUCGAAUACAUUAGCAUGGAAUAAUAGAAUAGGACGUGUGGUUCUAUUUUGUUGGUUUCUAGGACCGCCGUAAUGAUUAAUAGGGACAGUCGGGGGCAUCAGUAUUCAAUUGUCAGAGGUGAAAUUCUUGGAUUUAUUGAAGACUAACUACUGCGAAAGCAUUUGCCAAGGAUGUUUUCAUUAAUCAGGAACGAAAGUUAGGGGAUCGAAGACGAUCAGAUACCGUCGUAGUCUUAGCCAUAAACUAUGCCGACUAGGGAUCGGACGAUGUUAUUUUUUGACUCGUUCGGCACCUUACGAGAAAUCAAAGUGCUUGGGCUCCAGGGGGA
rnacentral:rRNA from 1 species